CCUACGGGUGGCAGCAGUGGGGAAUAUUGGGCAAUGGGCGCAAGCCUGACCCAGCAACGCCGCGUGAAGGAAGAAGGCUUUCGGGUUGUAAACUUCUUUGACAGGGGAAGAGCAGAAGACGGUACCCUGAAAACAAGCCCCGGCUAACUCAGUGCCAGCAGCCGCGGUAAUACGUAGGUGGCAGGCGUUGUCCGGAUUUACUGGGUGUAAAGGGCGUGUAGCCGGGAAGGCAAGUCAGAUGUGAAAUCCGGGGGCUCAACCCCCGAAUUGCAUUUGAAACUGUUUUGCUUGAGUACUGGAGAGGCAGGCGGAAUUCCUUGGGUAGCGGUGAAAUGCGUAGAUAUAAGGAGGAACACCGGUGGCGAAGGCGGUCUGCUGGACAGCAACUGACGGUGAGGCGCGAAAGCGUGGGGAGCGAACAGGAUUAGAUACCCCUGUAGUC
rnacentral:rRNA from 1 species